rnacentral:rRNA from 1 species
GGUUGCGAAGGCGGCCCCCUGGACAAGGACUGACGCUGAGGUGCGAAAGCGUGGGUAGCAAACAGGAUUAGAUACCCUGGUAGUCCACGCUGUAAACGAUGUCGAUUUGGAGGUUGUGGCCUAGUGUUAUGGCGUCCGAAGCUAACGCGAUAAAUCGACCGCCUGGGGAGUACGGCCGCAAGGUUAAAACUCAAAUGAAUUGACGGGGGCCCGCACAAGCGGUGGAGCAUGUGGUUUAAUUCGAUGCAACGCGAAGAACCUUACCUACUCUUGACAUCCACGGAAUUGAGCAGAGAUGCUUAAGUGCCUUCGGGAGCCGUGAGACAGGUGCUGCAUGGCUGUCGUCAGCUCGUGUUGUGAAAUGUUGGGUUAAGUCCCGCAACGAGCGCAACCCUUGUCCUUUGUUGCCAGCACGUGAUGGUGGGAACUCAAAGGAGACUGCCGGUGAUAAACCGGAGGAAGGUGGGGAUGACGUCAAGUCAUCAUGGCCCUUACGAGUAGGGCUACACACGUGCUACAAUGGCUCAUACAAAGAGCGGCGAGCGUGCGAACGUAAGCGAACCUCAUAAAGUGCGUCGUAGUCCGGAUUGGAGUCUGCAACUCGACUCCAUGAAGUCGGAAUCGCUAGUAAUCGUGGAUCAGAAUGCUACGGUGAAUACGUUCCCGGGCCUUGUACACACCGCCCGUCACACCAUGGGAGUGGGCGGCAAAAGAAGUAGGUAGCUUAACNNUCGGGGGGGCGCUACCAC